AGCAGUCGCCGCGGGAAUACGGAGGGGGCUAGCGUUGUUCGGAAUUACUGGGCGUAAAGCGCGCGUAGGUGGUUUGUUAAGUUGGAUGUGAAAUCCCCGGGCUCAACCUGGGAACUGCAUCCAAAACUGGCAGGCUAGAGUAGGGCAGAGGGUGGUGGAAUUUCCUGUGUAGCGGUGAAAUGCGUAGAUAUAGGAAGGAACACCAGUGGCGAAGGCGACCACCUGGGCUCAUACUGACACUGAGGUGCGAAAGCGUGGGGAGCAAACAGGAUUAGAUACCCGCGUAGUCCCUGUCUCUUAUAA
rnacentral:rRNA from 1 species